AAUGCUUGCAUUCACCGAAAGAAGCUUAGUGGCGAACGGGUGAGUAACACGUAGGCAACCUGCCCAAAAGAGGGGGAUAACACUUGGAAACAGGUGCUAAUACCGCAUAACCAUGAACACCGCAUGAUGUUCAUGUAAAAGACGGCUUUUGCUGUCACUUUUGGAUGGGCCUGCGGCGUAUUAACUUGUUGGUGGGGUAACGGCCUACCAAGGUGAUGAUACGUAGCCGAACUGAGAGGUUGAUCGGCCACAUUGGGACUGAGACACGGCCCAAACUCC
rnacentral:rRNA from 1 species